AGCACAUGUGUCCAUGGUCUAAGAGAAGAAUCUAAGAUCAUGAUGGUCCUGGAUCAACACCACAUCCAGACGGUCAAAGGUUCCUGCACAGCCUCGUAUUCAGUCACUGCUCGUGAGAUUCUCAUGGGAAAGGAGAUCACCGUGGUCUACGAGGAAAAGGGAGGGUGUGGACGGUCUGAGUCCUUGACUUGUGUCAUCACUGAGGAAGAAAACGGUAAGCGUCCUUUCGGAAGUUUUUAAAAACACAUAAUUAUUAUUUGUGAAAACAGUUGACAAAAUGAGUGAACUCUCCCAAUCCACAAAUGGAGUUAUCGGUGGAAAAUUAAAAUUGAAACAGAA